rnacentral:ncRNA from 1 species
ACUAUGUUUUGUAGGUCUAGGGUUUUCAAAACAUGUUUUCAAAAAAGCACUAAUGUAACUGCUAAUUUUUGUAGCUGCUAGUGAAGAUUAAGUAAAAUGGAUUAUCUGUUUGAAUAAAGGGGAACCUUCCUCUAAGACUAAAUAUGGUAUUAUACGCAAUAGUGAACAGUACCGUGAGGGAAAUUUAUUUAAUAGUAGUUUUAUAAGCAGCUCGAGAAAAAUUUUAAUCAAUAACAAGAGCGUACCUUUUGCAUAAUGGGUCAGCAAGUUAAUUUUAGAUGCAAGUAGAAAGAUUUAUUGCUAUUGAAUUUAGGUAGGAGGCGCAAUCCCUUAUUUGCUACCCUAAGGAGAUAAAUAACAAACGUCAGUCAGCUUGAUGUGUUAUGGAUAUUAGCAAUUAAUAAGCACAAAGGUUUUUUCAGUCUAAACCAUAUGUAGAGAAAUCGAUUAUGAAAAAAUGAUAAAGUAUCUAAAAUUAGACCCGAAGACUAGUGAUCUUACUGUUAUCAGGAUUAUAAAAGUCCGAACGGGUUAUCGUUGUAAAGAUAUCCGAAGAAUAAUGGUAAGUUAGUGAAAGACAAAACUGACUAGUUGAGCUGGUUUUCCGCGAAACCUAUAUAAGUAGGUAAUUUAAACAACAUCUUGGUAGGUACAGAACUGUGAUCUCGGUCAAAAUAUUUAUAUUGUAAAAACAUUAUAAAUUUGUAUAUAUCGGGGGAUCGUAAAGAUUUUAUCGGAGAGUAUUUGCACUCGGAAGGGCUAAGAUGAAUGUUAAAAAAUCGGACAUAGUACGAUAAGGUUGUAUGUCAAAAGGGAAACAGCCCAGAACAAGAGUUAAUAAGGUUCCAAAAUUAUUGUUGAGUGAAAUUAAGGAUGUGUCUUUUGAUACGAUCAAUUAAUAGGCUUGGAAGCGGCCACAUUUUAAUGAUCUCGUAACAGAGCAUUGAUUUUAUUUUUUUCAUUGAAAAAAGAAAAGAAGAUCACACCGAAAAUAUAACGGAUCUAAAUAAUAUACCGAAACCUUGUCCAUAUAUAGUUUAUAACAAAGUAUAUGUGGGGUAGCGGAACAAUGGAUAAAUCACAAUUAUUUUUUUUUUUUAAUUUUAAUUUUUUAUUUUCCAUGAGAUAAUGCUGACAUGAGUAACGAAAAAGAUAAAUUUCGCCUUAAGCUUAUGGUAUUGAAUUAAAUCGGCUUCUAAGCAAAAAUAAAGCGAUGAAAUAUUGUCCCCUUUAACAACUAAUUAAAGUUAAAUUAGUUCAGGAAAAAAGAAAGGGGGGAAAAAAAGUUAGUAUUAGUUAGUAUUAGGCGCAAUCCCGUGAAAAAAUGAAAAGAUGAAUAAGAAAGCUUUUUUUUUUUUUACCGUACCUAGAAACUAACACAAGUAAGCUAGUAGAGAAUACGAAGGCGUUUGAGUAAUCAAUCAUUAAGGAACUCGGCAAAAUGACUCACGUAACUUCGGGAUAAGGUGAGCCAUUCUUUGUAAAUUAGGAAAAAAAGCGAAAAAGAGGCAUUGCAUUGCCGCAAUUUCACUACCUUAACCAAAGAAUAGGAGGCAUAGAAUAGUGUUGUACGACUGUUUAUUUAAAACAGAGCACUCUGCUAAGAUAGAUAUCGAUAUAUUGAGUGUGAUGUCUGCCCGGUGUCGGCUGGGUGACGGAUUUGCUUAGAAUUAAAAAGCUAGGUUUUGAAGAGAUCCCCGACAAACGGCGGCCUUACCGAUGAGGGUCCUAAGGUAGCGGAAUACCCUGGCCGUUAAAUGCGGUCUUGCAUGAAUGAUGUAACGAUACAACAGCUGUCUCGAUGAUUGGCUCAGUGAAAUUGGAAUAGCAGUGCAGAUACUGUUUACCUCUAGAUAGACGAGAGUGCGACUAG